rnacentral:tRNA from 1 species
ACUUAAAUAGUUUAAUAAAAACAUUGAUUUGUGGAAUCAAAAUUAAGUAGGUUUUUUAAGUA